rnacentral:rRNA from 1 species
GACGAACGCUGGCGGCGUGCUUAACACAUGCAAGUCGAGCGGAAAGGCCCUUCGGGGUACUCGAGCGGCGAACGGGUGAGUAACACGUGAGUAAUCUGCCCCUAGCUCUGGGAUAGCUCCGGGAAACCGGGAUUAAUACCAGAUACGACUCCUUCGGACAUCUGAAGGAGUGGAAAGAUUUAUCGGCUAGGGAUGAGCUCGCGGCCUAUCAGCUUGUUGGUGGGGUAACGGCCUACCAAGGCGACGACGGGUAGCCGGCCUGAGAGGGCGACCGGCCACACUGGGACUGAGACACGGCCCAGACUCCUACGGGUGGCUG